AUACUUACCUGUCAGGGGAGAUACCAUGAUCAUGAAGGUAGUUUUCCCAGGGUGAGGCUCAUCCGUUGCACUCCAGGUGUGCUGACCCCUGCGAUUUCCCCAAAUGUGGGAAACUCGACUGCAUAAUUUGUUGUAGUGGGAGACUGGUUUGAGCUUUCCUCUCU
ensembl:snRNA U1 U1 spliceosomal RNA